rnacentral:rRNA from 1 species
UACGUAGGGAGCAAGCGUUGUUCGGAUUUACUGGGCGUAAAGGGCGCGUAGGCGGCGCGAUAAGUCACUUGUGAAAUCUCUGAGCUUAACUCAGAACGGCCAAGUGAUACUGCAGUGCUAGAGUGCAGAAGGGGCAAUCGGAAUUCUUGGUGUAGCGGUGAAAUGCGUAGAUAUCAAGAGGAACACCUGAGGUGAAGACGGGUUGCUGGGCUGACACUGACGCUGAAGCGCGAAAGCCAGGGGAGCAAACGGG